UACGGAGGGUGCGAGCGUUGUCCGGAAUCAUUGGGCGUAAAGAGCUCGUAGGCGGCUUGUCGCGUCGGAUGUGAAAGCCCGGGGCUUAACUCCGGGUCUGCAUUCGAUACGGGCAGGCUAGAGUUCGGUAGGGGAGAUCGGAAUUCCUGGUGUAGCGGUGAAAUGCGCAGAUAUCAGGAGGAACACCGGUGGCGAAGGCGGAUCUCUGGGCCGAUACUGACGCUGAGGAGCGAAAGCGUGGGGAGCGAACAGG
rnacentral:rRNA from 1 species